GAUGAACGCUGGCGGUAUGCUUAACACAUGCAAGUCGAACGGACUCUUCGGAGUUAGUGGCGGACGGGGGAGUAACGCGUGAGAAUCUGGCUUUGGGUUCGGGACAACCACUGGAAACGGUGGCUAAUACCGGAUGUGCCGAGAGGUAAAAGAGAAAUUGCCUGAAGAUGAGCUCGCGUCUGAUUAGCUAGUUGGUGAGGUAAAGGCUCACCAAGGCAGCGAUCAGUAGCUGGUCUGAGAGGAUGACCAGCCACACUGGGACUGAGACACGGCCCAGACUACUACGGGAGGCAGCAGUGGGGAAUUUUCCGCAAUGGGCGAAAGUCUGACGGAGCAAUACCGAGUGAGGAAAGAAGGCUCUUGGGUUGUAAACCUCUUUUCUUAGGGAAGAACAAAAUGACGGUACCUAAGGAAUCAGCAUCGGCUAACUCCGUG
rnacentral:rRNA from 1 species